rnacentral:tRNA from 1 species
AGUAAAGUUAGUUUAAGAGUUAAAAUAGUAAGUUGUGGGCUUACAGAUAAAGUUUUAUUUACUUUACU